UACGUAGGGGGCGAGCGUUGUCCGGAAUUAUUGGGCGUAAAGGGUGUGUAGGCGGAUUUUUAAGUCAGAGGUGAAAUCUCCAGGCUCAACCUGGAAACUGCCCCUGAUACUAUUAGUCUUGAAUAUUGAUGAGGUGGGCGGAACGGGUCAUGUAGCGGUGAAAUGCUUAGAGAUGACCCGGAACACCAAUUGCGAAGGCAGCUCACUGGGCAAUUAUUGACGCUGAGGCACGAAAGCGUGGGGAUCAAACAGG
rnacentral:rRNA from 1 species